GCUGAUUCGUCAUUUGCAAAGAUCUGGGAAGCAAUAUUAGCAAAGCAAUCCAUGAGCUUGGCAACAUUUCUGAGGAUGACUACAAAGUUCCUAGGAUAUCAAGAGGGUCAUUUGGACUUGGACAUAGAGUUACAGCUUCUGUGAAAAUAUUUUUAUGUGAUUGUUCUCGAGGAGUAGACAUGAGGAUAAAUCAAAAGAAGGUACAUUUCAUUUUUGUUGUUGUUGCUACUGUUCUUGUUCUGUAGGGAGUGUGUGUGUGUGUGUGUGUGUGUGUGUGUGUGUGUGUGGAUUGGGGGCCUGGGGAUUGUAAUUAUUCUUGUUUAUGUUGUACAGGCAGAGAUUGACCUUUGUAUUAAGUUCCCUAGGGCUGCUGUAACCAAGUACUACAAACUAGGUGGCUUAAAAAAAAUUUUAUUGUCUAGCAGUUCAGGAUACUAGAGGUCCAAAAUCAAAGUAUCUGCAGGGCCAUGCUCACAUUGAAACAUAAGGGAAUCUUUUCCUGGCUCUACCUGGCUUCUGGUAGUUGGCUGGCACUAUUUGACAUUCCACAGUUUGUAGAGUCAUCACUCCAAUCCUCAGUCUUCACAGAGCCUGUGUCUCUGCCUUCUUUAAAGACACCAGGCUUCUAGGAUUAGGACACUAGCCUACUUCAACAUGACCUCAUUCUAAUUUAACUCAUUGCAUCUGCAAAGAUCUUAUUUCCAAUAUGUUCACAUUUUGAGGUACUUAGGGUUAUGACUAGAACAUAUCUUGUUCUUAGGGACACAAUUAAAUACAUAGCAACCUCUUUUAUUUUCUUCCCUUUGGCGUCUUGCUUUAGGAGAACUAAUCGCCAGUGUGGCUGUUGUGGUGCAUGCAGGCUACUCCACUAUAGCUGCUGUUGUAAGCAGAAGUGAUCACAUGUGCCAAUCAAGACCUGAUGCCUGGAGUUCCUAAACUAAUGACUCCUGAGCAGACACUUGUCUCCAUCUAGACUAUGUGACUGUCACGCUAGCUGAGCAAAUUCUUCAUUACCCAAUUCCUGUGAACUUUCUCAGCUUUAGCUUUGCCUUCUUUAAAAGGUGCCAGGAAGGUGUAUUUAAGAAAACAAAUCUAUUUCAAUUUCAGUGAGAUGUGAAUCAUCUUGGGCAUUUAAUAAGCGAAUCAAGGUGAUGGAUAUAGCAUAGGGAUUUCUUUCAUUAACCUUCUAAAAUAGUAAAGGUUUUCCAUAGGCACAGCACUAUUACAUUUACAAAUUGGGACAUUAUGUUCUUGCUGUUUCACUACUCAUUAUAACCAGCCUUGGGCACUUAAUCUCUUAAUGAGCUGUAUUGCCAUUGUGGGAGCAUCCUUACUGAGGUCUUCCAAAGCCCCUAAUUCAACCCUAUUCAGUUUAUCUGUGUAUCUUGUUUAAUUUUAUAACCAGCAGAUUAGCAUGCCACCUGCCAUGCCUACAGGAAACCGGCAAUAUAUUUUAACUAAUUAUUGGUGUACCAGGUGAGUAACAGAAAUUAUUGUAGGAUUCUGGGUGUUUACAUAAACUUUUACACAUUUCCUGCCUAAGACAGAUAUUUCUUGAAGAAGAAAGAAAGAAGGGUGAGGGUCUGGUCUGUGAGAAGGCUGGUUGUCUCGUUCCUGCCUACUCAAGUCUCUGAGAAUAGUAAUACCCACGUUUACCUAUGAUUUCCAGGUUACUGUUUGAAUCAUUUGUUUCUGUUUUACAAAACAAUCCAGUAUAAUAACUUACUAUUAAUUAUGAUUCUUUGAGUUACCCAGGGUCAGUUUUGAAGUUCUGCUGGUCUCACUUGGAGUCUUUGACAUAAUUCCACUAGAUUGAAAGACUGUUUGGGAGAUGGUUUUUCACUCUCUGUCUCUCUCCAUAUAGUCUUUAAUUGUUCAAUAGUCUAGCCUGGCUUCCAAACGGCAUGUCUUCUGGGUUCCAUAACAGUGCACUCUUCUGUCACAUUUUGUCUGUCAAAUCCGGACAUAAUUUCUUCCAAAAUAAAGGAUAAUAUAAAUAAACUCAUCUGUUACCUGAGGAAGGGCAUGAGUGUACCAGGAUGGAAGGAAUUGUUGGCUGCCAUAUUUAGAGACUACUUACCUCAGUAUCAAAUACCUGCUAUCCCAUAUUGUUACUGAUUGUAGUUCUUCCUUUCAAUAAAUUAUGAUGUUCUACUCUAUCAAAAAAGGUCCUAUCAGCAGAGCAAAACCAUAAAAUAGUUUGCACAGGCAGAAUUUUGUAUUUAAAAUAAUUAACUCUAACAGAGGAUUGGAGUAAUAAGGGAUUGUCUAGGUAAAAAAAAAACCUUAAAAACUAGAACUAGCAGAUAAGAAACAUCUUAUAUCCUUAGAAUUGAGUUAAGGUGCCCAAUAAAAAGGCAUCUGCCUCCCCGACCCAGUGAAGCAGAAUACGAUGACAGCUUCAAAGGAAAGAAGUAUUCUAUUUUUAAUCACUUACACUGGGGCAGACAUUAUGGACAGUGAUGCUGUAUAAUUAUAAUACAUUUUCCUUAUUCAAGUCACUGAGAUUUUUUUGCUAUUAAAAAUAAAAACAUCAAAGUAUCAAAUAUGAUUAUUCAGGUCAGAACAAAUAUAUCGUAAGAAUGUCACCAAGAAUAAUAAAUUUUCAUUCACUCUACUUUAUUGAAACAUGUACAAAUUAUCUCUCCAGGGUUGAAUUGUCUAGAGAUAUUUGCAGCAUCUUGUAUCAGAAAAAAGAGUGACAAGUUUCAUUCCAUUUUUCGUAGAAGGAAGGAUUAUCACAGAGCCAAUGCCACAAGGCCCUUUGGUUCAGAGACAGCAUUUUCCAAUCAUGUUCUCAACAAGUCUCGAACAUGUUAAUUAAUGUUUGUCUUGAAGAGUUCUUAAAUAAAAACUAGUGGAUAGCUUUCUCACAUAAAUUUAAAAGAUUUUUAAGAUAGCAUCUUCAACAAAUCCAAAACUAUAAAAUGUCUUUUGAGUCAUACCUUUUGCUUCAAAAUACUCCUAAUAAAGCACAUAAAUUGACAAACUCCAUUGUUAGUAGAAAGUUUUAUGGCUUCAGAUCACAAUUAAUAUUUUAACAUUCAUAUUUUCACCCAAAGGACAUUUAGUCAUCAUGUUUGACACUAACAAUUUUAUCUUUCUUCUGCUGGUAGUUGUAUGACUCAUUAAAACAAAGUAUAUAAAAUAAUCGCAUCUAUACUGAUGACUUAAAUGGGCACCAAAAUAAGUGAGUUUAAAAAAUUCUAUCUUAUGAGAAAAACAUAAAAUAGUUCUUACGUAAUAUGUAAGAAAUAAUAAUUUCUUACUGAAUUCAUAGUGAAAAGUACUGCUGGAAUACGUCAUCACAAAUAGCAUUCUCCAUUACUAAAAUAUAGAUGCAAUAAUAAUUAGUAACUAUGAUCGUAACAAACUACUUGAAAAACAUGUGGCUUGAAAAUGUCAAAAAAGAUACAAAUGCAACUGAGCAGUAUAGGAAAAGAGUACUCUUAAAACUCAGCAGAUUGUGGUGGGUAUGUGGCAACGUUUUGAAGAUGAUGUAGUUGUCAUUCUGGUUAUCUGAGAAAACAGAGAUUAUCAUAUCCAAAGAAUAAAUACAAAUGAAAAGGUUUAAUAUUGCAUUUGGAAUUGUUUUUAUUUUUCAAAAUUGAUGAUAGAAUAAAAUAUUUUUAUAAAAUAUAAAUCUGCAAAUGUUUUUACCUGGGACAAUGAGCCUUGACAGAAUAACAUCUAGAACAGCUAACCCACAAUAACUUAUGUAAAAUUGUCGAAAUGUUAUAUUGAGUAAAAUUAAUAGAAGAGUCAAGUAUUAUAUUUUAAUUUUCAAUAUCCUGGUGGAAAUAAUUAUGUGCAAAAUAUCAACGAAAUAGGGAAAGUAAAUAAGAAUGUUUUAAAUAUAUAUAUACACCCAAAAUGGAAAACCGACUUAACAGAUUUUGCUUUAAAAAUACAUUUUCUAUGAAGAUUCAUCAAUUCUACAGAAAGUGAUAGACCUCUAAUAGAAAUAUUUGGUUUUAAACACUGCAUGUUCUCACUCAUAGGUGGGAAUUGAACACUGAGAACACUUGGACACAGGGCAGGGAACAUCACACUCAGGGCCUGUUGGGGGAUGGGGGGCAAGGGGAGGAAUAGCAUUAGGAGAAAUACCGAAUGUAAAUGAUGAGUUAAUGAGUGCAGCAAACCAACAUGGCACAUGUAUACCUAUGUACCAAACUUGCACUUUGUGCACAUGUACCCUAGAACUUAAAGUAUAAUAAAAAAAAAUAUUUGGUUUCAUAAGGAAAGCAUCAAAAUAAUCAAAAGAAAUUAUUAAAAUAUUCUUGCAUGGCAGUGCUAGUCCAAUGGAGUUGAAGUGGCAAAGUCUACAUUUCCUGAGUACAGCUAGAAAGACACUGUUCAGGGAACAGUUAGAUUGUAACCAGCUAAAGAGAAACCAGGAUGUUAAAUUUGGCUAUUCUAGCAAAGAAGCAUUCAGGAAAAUAAAGAAGCAAUUAUCCGUGAGCUGAGUUCCAGGCUUUUUUUUGCACAGUUUUUGUAUUCGCAUAAUGAAUGAACAGCAUUGUCACGAGCAUUUUUAAGUGCCUUAGGAUGGGACUGUCAUCCAGCCAUUAAAUCCUGCAAAUUCAGUUCUGAGGGGAAUAAAAAAGAAAUACAGGAACAUAGAGUGAGAGUUGUAUUUUGUAUUUCCUUUGUCCCUUUUGCACAGUUUCAGAAUGCAUUGACAAAUCAGUUUCUGUAGCAAUGGGAUUCAGAUUCUGGAUUUUUUUUUAAAAAGAACAUAAGCUUCUGAGGCUAGAAGUAGAGAAUGACCUCCAGUGGCUGGUGUCAAAAGAAGAGAACAGCCAAUAAAUUAUAUUUGUCCUAGAUCUGACAACCCAUGUAGAAUUACAUUGGUACAGAACUAACCAGUACCCUGUUGAUGUCGAAGAUGUUUCUUAUUCCCCAAAUAUGUGAACCUAAUUAUGACUGUAUUAUAAUCUAGCAGAUCUCACUAAGUAUAUUCCAAUGGCUAUAUGCAGUCUUAGAAUUGAACACACAGAGCACACCAUUGUGUUGCCGAUGGCAUAAAAACUUGAAGAAACUCCAAGAUGACCAGAACUCAGAAGUCUGCAGUCAUAGUAAGUGAAAUGACAAAAAAAAAGUAGAGAACAGUUAGAUUUCUUGGGUAAAGGCUGAACAAUCUACUGAUGCAAGAAACAGAGGAGGAGUUUCCUCUUAGGACUUGAGAAGAUUCAUUGAUAGAAAAAGGACUCUGUAAAAAUGAGCAGAUAGUGUUUGAUAUAAGGCAAUGAUUUGACUGUAUGAUGGGUGCCUUGAUCAGGUUUGGAGGUAAUAAUUUGCAUGGCAACCUAAUAUAUACCGUCAGGUAAAACCUCCUGAAAAUUACAUGAAUGAUACCAGAUAGCACAUGUGUCCUAUUUUGAUACAUACCCUGGUCCUGCUGAGAUUGUGCCUUUGCUAUGAAGCAAGGCCUCUUUGAGGCACAUUAUUGUACUUAGACAAGGCCCUGCAUUCUAGAGAAAGAGACAAGCUGGGAAAAAAGAUUUUGUACACGCUCAAAGAAUGAAUGUCCAUUUGAGAGUAUAAACUAGUUGCCAUGUCUGCCAAUUGCCAACCACCACCAUAUCCUUAGAAACCAUGCUAUUACCAUGUUUCAGUGUACACCAAAAGAAAUCUAGAGUAGGAACUGGCUUCCUCCCUCACUUGUGCAUUUGUCCGUUGCACAUUCUAUCAAGUAGGUUUAAUAGUGCUUUAGUAACUUACAGAGAAAUUGUGGCAAAACUCUCCUGUUAUUUUUGUUAAUCAAAAUUUGUAGCUUCCCCUCUAAGAGAGUCACGCAUGAGUCCAUGGGCCAUGAAUAGUAACAGAUUUUGAGUUAUAAGCAUAAUGCUGAACUAAAAAUGAUUCAUCAGCUGUAGAACUCACCCAUUUUGUGUAGAGAAAGUUUGCUUUGUUCAAAGUAUUGCUUUAGGGAAAGUUCUUAACAAGAACACGCCUUGCUUUUCCACAAGAAACAUUUCUUGAUGGGUCUGUUACACAAAUUAUUCAGAUAUGCAAGUUUUGUUUUGCUUUGUUUUUAAAAAAUAUAGUUCAAAAUUAUUGCUAGGGCUAAACCCUUGUUCCACAUUUUUUAUCUCAUGCAUUUUUAAAAGCUAUUUUAAAUUUCUGCCUCCAAUCUUGUUUUAUUUUAUUUUUUCAACUGGGUAAUUGUCUUUGCAGUUUAUGUUUUCUUUCAGAUAUUCUCACAGGGAAACUUCAUCAUUUCUCUAUUAGGGUAUUUUCAGUCACAUUAUGUAUUUCUUUUUCUAUCAUAAUUUGCAGUACUAUCACUGGAUUAAUUUUUUAAAUCACCUUUCGACAAGUAUAAUUUCCAUGCAAGUUUGACAAAGUUCAAUUUGUUUUUUUCUUUUAUUUUUCACAUUUGUAAUAAUUGUGUAAGAAAUCUUUGCCUAUUCAAAACUCACAAAAAUAAUUUUUAGACAUUUUACAGCUUAACACUUAAUUCACAGAUAUUUUUCUGAAUUAAUUUAAGUAAUGUCGUAUGUGUCAUGACUUUAAACUUUUCUUUUCUUCCAUGUCCACUUGUCCCAGCAACAUUUGUUGAAAAGAUUUUAUUUUCCCCCAUUGAAUUGACUUGACACCUUUUUUGAAAGUCAGCUCAACAAAUAUCCAUGGCCCGAUUUCUGGAAUCUCUAUGCUGUUUCAUUUAUUUUUAUGUCUGCCCUCACAGCAAUACCACCCAUUACUUGUAACUUUAUACUAAGGCUUGCAGUCACACGGCAAAAGACCUUCAAAUCUGUUCUUCCUGUGCAAGCAUUUUGGCGCUCCUAGGUUCUUUGAAUGUCUACAUACAUUUUAGAAUCAGCUUGACAAUCUACAAAAAAAGCCUCCCAGGACUCUGAUCCAAACUUCAUUUAAUUUAUAGAUUUGUGACAUCUUACAAUGAGUCUUACAGUCAAUGAAUAUGAUACAUCACUCCAUCUCAUGUUUUCUUUCACUUUUCUCAGAUAUGUAUCACAGUUUUCAGUUUAGAGCUUUUACAAAUAUUACAUUAAAUGUGUCUCCAAGUAUUUUCUGUAUUGGAUGCUACUGUAAAUUGUAAUUUACUCUGUAUUUUAAUUGUAAUUGUAGGACAUGGAAAGACAGAUUUUUGUAUGAUGGCCACGUUUCCUAUGAACCCACUACAUUCUUUUUUUUUUUUUUCUUUUUUUUUUUUUUGGAGUCUCAUUCUGUCACCCAGGCUGGAGUGCAGUGGUGAGAUCUCGGCUUACUGCAAGAUCCGCCUCUCAGGUUCACGCCAUUCUCCUGUCUCAGCUUCCCGAGUAGCUGGGACUACAGGCGCCCGCCACAACACCUGGCUAAUUUUUUUUUUCUUGUAUUUUUAGGAGAGACGGGGUUUCACCGUUUUAGCCAGGAUGGUCUCGAUCUCCUGACCUCAUGAUCCGCCCGCCUCAGCCUCCCAAAGUCCUAGGAUUACAGGCGUGAGCCACCGCACCUGGCCUGAACCCACUAUGUUCUUUAAAUAUUAAUAACAUUUUUUGUAGAUUCCUUAUAAUUUCCUACAAAGUCAAUAAUGUCAAAUGCAAAUAGUGUUUUGCAGCUUUACUCUUAAUUUACAUAUUUUUCCCUUGCUCUAAUGCACAUGCUAGAAUCUCUAGUAUAAUGGUGAAAUACAGCCAUAGAUGUUCCAAUAUUAAACCAGUAUUUCUUAUUUCAAUUAGCUAAUAUUUUGCUAAAGCUUUUCUGGUUCUACAAUUUUGCAUCUAUGUAUGUAUCAAUUUUUACAUCUGUGUUUUCUAAUUUUUCUGAUUUUGGUAUUAUGGUAAUCAUAAUUAAAUAAGUGAAAUAUUGUGGAAUCAGGAGGACCAGAAAGAGACCUUGGGGUGUAUACAGGAGGAUAUCUUUAUUGAGUGCAGUCAGACCCAGCAAACUCAACAUCCAAAGACUGGGUCCAGAACAAAGACAGCAUUUGACUUUCAUACACACUUCACAAAGGGGUGGACUACCUUGAAGCAGGCUUUCAGUUACAGUGGCGCGAAAGCAAGGAUACAGAGUCAGAACAAUUAAUUAAAUUGUGACAGGUUCAUAACUCCGGAUUACACAUGACCAUUGCCAAGCAACCCAUUUGUCUGUUAUCCAGGUUUUGCUCUAAAGAGUCUUGCACUGGUUUAUCGCAUAACUUCACUAUGGUGCCCAGACAGCUGUAGUUCAGGCCUGCUCAGGCUUCUCAUGACCUUCACUGUACUUCUUAGAUAAAACAGAAUACUUGAAGUUACCAGUUACAGAAAACAAGAAUCUAUAAACUAAUACCAUAAAGCAAAGGAAAAUUUGUUUUUUGUCUCCAUGUGUUGAAGGAGUGCUGGGAGAGUCUCCAGAGCACAUUCCUUUGUGUCCUAGCUUCUUAGAUAGUGUUUACCAAGCCUUUUCCUGGGUCUGGGCUGUGCCUGUUGCUGCCUCUGGGACCAGUCAGCCUAAUACAGGAAAGCUUAUUUCUUUCUCUUUUUAAUUUUAUUUUUCCUUAUUUCUUUAAUUUCCCACCUCAAAACAUUUCCUACUCUAUUUCAUCAACUAAGAUUUAUAUGAUUCAUCCAUUAAAUAUUUAUUUGAAUUUCUAAUUUUGGUAUUAUGGUAAUCAUAAUUAAGUAAACAUUUCCUACUGUACUUUAUCAACUAAGAGUUAUAUGCUUCAUUCAUUAAAUAUUUAAUAAAAUUUACCAGUACAUUUACAUAAGGCUGUUUAUUUUUUUUUCUUUCUUUGUAUAAAGGAUUUUAAUCAUCAGUUAUAUAUCUUUACCAGAAAUAGGACUACUUAGCUUUUCAGUUACUUUUUAAACUAGUUUGGAUAACUUGUGUUUUUCAAGCUAUUUGCCACUUUUCUUUAAGUUUCCAGACUUGGUAGCAUAAAGUUGUUAAGAUAAUAUUCUCUUAGCCAUUGUGUGUUACAAAUAUAGUGCAACCUACUCUUUCAUUGCUUUUGUUUGAGCAAUCUAGUUUUAAAAAUUGUUUUUAAUAAUUUAUUUAAAAUAACAUUUGUUUGUUUACUUUAUCAUUAGUUUGUUUUUUCCUUCAGAGAUGUCUUUUCUAUUUAUUUAUCCAUUUUUUACUUUUACUUAAUAAUCAAGCUCCUCUUUCCCUAGCUUCUUUUGGUGGGAGCUGAAAUCAUUAAUUUUUUAAUUCUUUUUUCUUCUUUUUUAAUAUAAGCAUUUGCAGUUGUAAUUUUUCAUCAAGUCACUCCUUUACUUUUACUUCACAAAACAAGAAUCAGAACCAUACCUAGGUACAACACAACUGUUAGGAUCAUCAUUCAGAGAAAUUAAAAUAAUUGUGAUUACUAUAUUAAGGGCUCUUAACAGAAAAAAAAAUAGGGGUGUGUAAUAUAAACAGAGAAAUGAAAAAAGAAAAAAAAACUAAGAAAAAAACAAAAGAAAAUGCUAAGGGAGAAAAAAGAAUAGGCCCAUUGAUGGGUUUAUUAAUCAACUUCCAUGACUGAAGAAACAAUGAGUGAGCUGUAGGUAAGCCCAUAGAAAAUUUCCAAACUGAAAUGAGAAGAGAAAAAAAGAUGAAAAAAAAAAAACAAAAACAAAAGAGAACAUUAAAGAGCUGUAAGACAGUUUCAAGAAAUAUAUCACACUUUGAAUUGGCUUAAUAGAAGAAAAAGAAGAAAAAUUUAGCAAAAAAAUUAACAUUUGCAGUAAUCAUCGCUAAGAUUCACAAUAUGAGAGACCUCUACUUCAUCACAAGCUUUCAACAUUGACAGAAUAGUUCUAGAUAAGCAGAGGAGCAAGUUGCCUAAGUGGACGUGGAUAUAUGAUGAUGUCUUAACAAGGCAACUAGUUCCCUCAAAGGGCAAGUCCAGCUUCUCCUCAUAUUUGGUGGAUAAUUAACAAAUUCCAGUAUUUUAAAAAAUAAUCAUUAUCAUGGUGACUAGCUUCACUCGAUUAUCUAGCGUUAUCGAAUCUCUAUCAUCUAUCAUCGCCAACAGGCAUGGCUCAGUUUAGCCAACCAAGUACUCUACUUCCAAGAUUUUGACUUGUGAUUAAUCCAAUUAUCUCCUCUGCUAUAAGGAGAAAAGAUUAUAUUGGAUAGUUUUGUUUCCUGCAGCAAAGUAAUUUUCUGCAUGACCAGCAAUAAUGCAAUGUGGGAGAUUUUAAUAAGAAGCAAUUAUUUUUAAAUUUAAAACUUAAACAGAAUGCAGAUUGCAAUAAUAUAGCAGAGAUGUGCACAAAAUUGUGAGUCACUUUAAAAACUGUUAACCCUGCAAUGUAUUCUUGUAUGGAACAGUGCAGUAAAAUAAACAUAACUGAAGCAGAAAUAUUUCUGUCUCCUAGAAACGCAUAUAUAAUAUUAAAACUGACAAAUAAUACCCCCUUUGUAUGGCAUUCCGUAAUUUAAUGUGUUACCUUGUUUUCAUCAUUGAAAUUAAUAGUUUUUUUUUUUUUUUUACUGAAAUAAAGAAACAUUUAUGAAAAGAACACAUGAUAACAUAUUUUUUUUUGGUCCAAGAGAAAAAGUUAGCAUCUGAUGUUGGAAAAUGAUCAAUGAUAAGAAAUGAGAUUUUGCAAAAUAAAGUCAUUGAAUAUGUUAUGGAAAA